rnacentral:rRNA from 1 species
AUAAUCACUAGUCUUUUAAUUGGAGGCUUGUAUGAAUGGUUGAAUGAGAUAUAUACUGUCUUUUUUAAAAUUAUAUAGAAUUUUAUUUUUUAAUUAAAAAGUUAAAAUAAAAUUAAAGGACGAGAAGACCCUAUAGAUCUUUAUUUUUGUUAUUUAUAAAUUAAAAAGAAUUUUAAAAUUUAUAAUUUAAUAAAAAAUUUUAUUGGGGUGAUAUUAAAAUUUAAAAAACUUUUAAAAUUUAUUAACAUAAAUAUAUGAAUAAAUGAUCCAGUUUUAUUGAUUAAAAAUUUAAGUUACCUUAGGGAUAACAGCGUAAUUUUUUUUUAGAGUUCAUAUCGACAAAAAAGAUUGCGACCUCGAUGUUGGAUUAAGAGUUAUUUUUAGGUGUAGAAGUUUAAAGUUUAGGUCUGUUCGACCUUUGAAUUCUUACAUGAUCUGAGUU